rnacentral:rRNA from 1 species
AUUGAACGCUGGCGGCAUGCCUUACACAUGCAAGUCGAACGGCAGCAUGAUCUAGCUUGCUAGAUUGAUGGCGAGUGGCGAACGGGUGAGUAAUACAUCGGAACGUGCCCUGUAGUGGGGGAUAACUAGUCGAAAGAUUAGCUAAUACCGCAUACGACCUGAGGGUGAAAGUGGGGGACCGCAAGGCCUCAUGCUAUAGGAGCGGCCGAUGUCUGAUUAGCUAGUUGGUGAGGUCAAGGCUCACCAAGGCGACGAUCAGUAGCUGGUCUGAGAGGACGAUCAGCCACACUGGGACUGAGACACGGCCCAGACUCCUACGGGAGGCAGCAGUGGGGAAUUUUGGACAAUGGGCGAAAGCCUGAUCCAGCAAUGCCGCGUGUGUGAAGAAGGCCUUCGGGUUGUAAAGCACUUUUGUCCGGAAAGAAAUGGCUCUGGUUAAUACCUGGGGUCGAUGACGGUACCGGAAGAAUAAGGACCGGCUAACUACGUG